rnacentral:rRNA from 1 species
AACAUGCAAGUCGAACGGCAGCACGGAGCUUGCUCUGGUGGCGAGUGGCGAACGGGUGAGUAAUAUAUCGGAACGUACCCUAGAGUGGGGGAUAACGUAGCGAAAGUUACGCUAAUACCGCAUACGAUCUAAGGAUGAAAGUGGGGGAUCGCAAGACCUCAUGCUCGUGGAGCGGCCGAUAUCUGAUUAGCUAGUUGGUAGGGUAAAAGCCUACCAAGGCAUCGAUCAGUAGCUGGUCUGAGAGGACGACCAGCCACACUGGAACUGAGACACGGUCCAGACUCCUACGGGAGGCAGCAGUGGGGAAUUUUGGACAAUGGGCGAAAGCCUGAUCCAGCAAUGCCGCGUGAGUGAAGAAGGCCUUCGGGUUGUAAAGCUCUUUUGUU